CCUACGGGCGGCUGCAGUGGGGAAUAUUGCACAAUGGGCGCAAGCCUGAUGCAGCCAUGCCGCGUGUGUGAAGAAGGCCUUCGGGUUGUAAAGCACUUUCAGCGGGGAGGAAGGCGGUGAGGUUGAUAACCUCAUCGAUUGACGUUACCCGCAGAAGAAGCACCGGCUAACUCCGUGCCAGCAGCCGCGGUAAUACGGAGGGUGCAAGCGUUAAUCGGAAUUACUGGGCGUAAAGCGCACGCAGGCGGUCUGUCAAGUCGGAUGUGAAAUCCCCGGGCUCAACCUGGGAACUGCAUUCGAAACUGGCAGGCUAGAGUCUUGUAGAGGGGGGUAGAAUGCCAGGUGUAGCGGUGAAAUGCGUAGAGAUCUGGAGGAAUACCGGUGGCGAAGGCGGCCCCCUGGACAAAGACUGACGCUCAGGUGCGAAAGCGUGGGGAGCAAACAGGAUUAGAUACCCGGGUAGUC
rnacentral:rRNA from 1 species